rnacentral:lncRNA from 1 species
CCGACAACAAGCUCAAAUUUGGAUCACAACAUAUCGGCAAAAAGUAGUCUGAUAUUAUAAUGCAAAAGUUAAGCCAAAGAUCUUCCAUCCAGGAGACCUGGUCCUAAGGAAAGCUAAAGUUUCAAGACCUCUGGAUCAGAAAAAAUUAUCUCUGAAUUGGGAAGGACCUUACAGAAUAACCGAAACACUUAGACCGGACAC